rnacentral:lncRNA from 13 species
AUGCUGGGCCACUUAAAGGAAUGCACAUUUGGUGAGUGGCGUGGCAUUGCUCAGCCAUAUUUUAACAUAGCAGACACCCGCAUGAAUGGAAUGCAAGCACCCCGUCAGGAUGGAUCGACGCACCCAGGGCAGAACACACACGCCCCAUCAGGACAGGACACACCCGCCCCAUCAGGGCAGAACACACACGCCCCAUCAGGACAGAACACACCCGCCCCAUCCGGACAGAGCACACCUGCCCCAUCAGGACAGAACACACCCGCUGCAUCAGGGCAGAACACACACACCCCAUCAGGACAGAACACACCUGCCCCAUCAGGACAGAACACACCCGCCCCAUCAGGUCAGAACACACCCGCUGCAUCAGGACAGAUGGCUUGCUGCCAUGCCAGUCUGGUGUUUCAAAUCAAAUCAAAGUUUAUUUGUCAUACGUGCCUAAUACAACAGGUGUAGUAGAACUUAUAGUGAAAUGCUUACUUACAGGCUCUAACCAAUAGUGCAAAAAAAAGGUAUUAGGUGAACAAUAGGUAAGUAAAGAAAUAAAAACAACAGUAAAAAGACAGUGGAAAACUAACAGUAGCGAGGCUAUAUGCAGUAGCGAGGCUAUAUACAGACACCGGUUAGUUGGGCUGAUUGAGGUAGUAUGUAGUGUAGAUAUGGUUAAAGUGACUAUGCAUAUAUGAUGUACAGAGAGUAGGGGGUGGCGGGACACAAUGCAGAUAGCCCGGUUAGCCAAUGUGCAGCAGGAGCACUGGUUGGUCAGGCCAAUUGAGGUAGUAUGUACAUGAAUGUAUAGUUAAAGUGACUAUGCAUACAUAAUAAACAGAGAGUAGCAGCAGCGUAAAAUAGGGGUUGGGGGGAGGCACACAAUGCAAAUAGUCCGGGUAGCCAUUUGUUUACCUGUUCAGGAGUCUUAUGGCUUGGGGUUAAAACUGUUGAGAAGCCUUUUUAGCCUGGUGUUCAUAGUGUAGUCUGUAGUUUUUAUACUGGUGUUUAUAGUGUAGUCUGUAGUUUUUAUCCUGGUGUUUAUAGUGUAGUCUGUAGUUUUUAUCCUGGUGUUUAUAGUGUAGUCUGUAGUUUUUAUACUGGUGUUUAUAGUGUAGUCUGUAGUUUUUAUACUGGUGUUUAUAGUGUAGUCUGUAGUUUUUAUACUGGUGUUUAUAGUGUAGUCUGUAGUUUUUAUACUGGUGUUUAUAGUGUAGUCUGUAGUUUUUAUACUGGUGUUUGUAGUGUAGUCUGUAGUUUUUAGCCUGGUGUUCAUAGUGUAGUCUGUAGUUUUUAGCCUGGUGUUUAUAGUGUAGUCUGUAGUUUUUAGCCUGGUGUUUAUAGUGUAGUCUGGAGUUUUUAGCCUGGUCUAUAGGCUAAAUUAAUUAUGUGUCUAUAUACAGUAUAUCUGUUUAUUUGACUGGUACUGUGUGUAUAUAUAUAUAUAUAUAUAUAUAUAUAUAUAUAUAUAUAUAUAUAUAUAUAUAUAUAUAUACAUUUUGUCCGUAUAUAAUCUGUUUGUUUAUUGUCUGUCUGUAUAUUCUGUUUACUGUGGCAGCACCAUUUCACAGAGUCAAAUUCCUGUACAUGCAAAUGCAUUGGUGAAUAAAGGUGAUUCUGGUUCUGAGUUCCUUGAUGAAGGAGUAGCGAUUGCGGUACCAUCCAGCUCCCAGAAUACUCAGGGUGGCGAGUACCUGUCAGGUGACCCAACAGCGAUGACCCCCAUUUAGAUACUUCCUCGCAUUCAACAUUUGCUCAAACUCGUCCUCUAUCCAUCGAUUUUGGAAUAUUCCAGGCUCCCUGAAUGUCUAGCUUUUGUUUCGAUUACUUUUAUCAAGCUGGAAAGAGUGAAGUGACUAUACAUGCAGGUCCAGGCUAAAUCUAUCCUACCCUGCAUCUCUAAGGUCUUCGAAAGCCAAGUUAACAAACAGAUUACUGACCAUUUUGAAUCACAUCGUACCUUCUCUGCUAUGCAAUCUGGUUUCCGAGCUGGUCAUGGGUGCGCCUCAACCACGCUCAAGGUCCUUAACGAUAUCAUAACCGCCAUCGAUAAGAGACAUUACUGUGCAGCUGUAUUCAUCGACCUAGCUAAGGCUUUCGACUCUGUCAAUCACCACAUUCUUAUUGGCAGACUCAACAGCCUUGGUUUCUGCCGAACAUACCCUCGUAAAACUGACCAUCCUACCGAUCCUUGACUUCGGUGAUGUCAUCUAUAAAAUAGCCUCCAACACUCUACUCAACAAACUGGAUGCAGUCUAUCACAGUGCCAUCCGUUUUGUCACCAAAGCCCCAUAUACUACCCACCACUGCGACCUGUACGCUCUCGUUGGCUGGCCCUCGCUUCAUACUCGUCGCCAAACCCAGUGGCUACAGGUUAUCUACAAGUCUCUGCUAGGUAAAGCCCUGCCCUAUCUCAGCUCGCUGGUCACCAUAGCAGCACCCACUCGUAGCACACGCUUCAGCAGGUAUAUCUCACUGGUCACCCCCAAAGCCAAUUCCUCUUUUGGUCGCCUUUCCUUCCAGUUCUCUGCUGCCACUGACUGGAACGAACUGCAAAAAUCACUGAAGCUGGAGAUUCCCAUCCCAUUCCCAUCUAGCUUUAAGAACCAUCGGUCAGAGCAGCUCACAGAUCACUGCACCUGUUCGUAUCUAUCUACCUCAUUCUCAUACUGUAUUUAUUUAUUUUGCUCCUUUUGCACCACAGUAUCUCUACUUGCACAUCCAUCUUUUGCACAUCUACCAUUCCAGUGUUUAAUUGCCAUAUUGUAAUUACUUCGCCACCAUGGCCUAUUUAUUGCCUUAACUCCCUUAUUUGACCUUAUUUGCACUCACUGUAUAUAGACUUUGUUUUCUUUUUGUUCUACUGUAUUAUUGACUGUAUGUUUUGUUCAUUCCAUGUGUAACUCUGUGUUGUUGUAUGUGUUGAACUGCUAUGCUUUAUCUUGGCCAGGUCGCAGUUGCAAAGCUUACCUGGUUAAAUAAAGGUGAAAUAAAAAAUACAAUUAUAAUUUCAACACAGUUUCGAUGUGGUUUAGGUCAUUUCAAUGUAGUUUGAUUCAAAUAAUCAAAUCUUGAGUUGGUUAUUUGAAUUAACUGUGUAGUGCUAGGGCAAAAAAACUAAACAUGCACUGUACUGUACCUUCCCUGCUGCAACCAAUAAUGUUUUGCAUAGAGAAUGGUAAUGCUAUUGGUUGAGUGGUGCAUUUUAUUCAUCCUGUCACAUAGCUGACUUAUUUGUGUGUGUCUUUACUGAUCCUGUUGACAAUGUGAGUUGUGUUGGAGCCAAUGUACAGUACUUCCCCCUUAAUAUCAAAAGUAAAUAAUUAACUGGUAUCUGCGCGUUACUGCAGUCUCUGUGACAGGAGGAGAGCAGCGUAAGACCCACAGACGGUCUAAUAAUGUGCAGUCUGCUGAUACUGGAUGACUGGAAACAGCAGAAAUGAAAGAGCUAUGGAUUAUGGUUGUCUUUGCUACAGGUAAGACUUGCUAUAUAUUUGAUUCAUUCAGGGUGGUUUUAGAUGUUCAGACAUACACUGACUGUACAAAACAUUAAGAACACCUGCUUUUUCUAUGACAUAAACUGGCCAGGUGAUUCCAGGUGAAAGCUAUGAUGCUUUAUUAAUGUCACUUGUUAAAUUUACUUCAAUCAAUGUAGAUGAAGGGGGGGGGGGGGACAGUUUAAAGAAGGAUUUUUAAGCCUUGAGACAAUUGUUACAUGGAUUGUGUAUGUGUUCCAUUCAGUGGGUGAAUGGGCAAGACAAAAGAUUUAAGUCCCUUUGAACAGGUAUGGGAAUAGGUGCCUGGCCCACCGUUUUUGUUCAAGAACUGCAACGCUGCUGGGUUUUUCAUGCUCAACAGUUUCCUGUGUGUAUCAAGAAUGAUUCACCACCCAAAGGACAUCCAGCCAACUUGACAUAGCUGUGGGAAGCAUUGGAGUCAAAAUGGGACACCAUCCCUUUCGACACCUUGUAGAGUCCAUGCCCUGACGAGUUGAGGCUGUUCUGAGGGCAAAAGUGUGUGGAGGUGCAACUCAAUAUCAGGAAGGUGUUCCUAAUGUUUGGUAUACUCAGUGUUGGAUGUUGUUGUUAAGAAGUCUUCUGUGAUUGAGAAUUGUGUUGGAAAAUUGCUUUCAAUUCAGAUGUGCAAAAAUGUAUGAUGCAUUUAACUUAUCAAUUGAUUAUUACCCAUAUAUAACCUUACUAUUUUUACAAUUUGGUUUAUUUAAUUUUAAAGUUCGAUUUAUAGGCAAUGAUUGAUUUAUGUUUUGUCUGUUUGUUGUGAGGGAUACAAUAGCAUCAAUGAAGACAUUGUUUCAGACUGUAUUUUAAUCCAAACACUUUCGAUUUACUGUUAAGACAUUGUUUACAGACUGUAAAUAGACUACUGUCAGGUCUCAGAUACAGUUGAUAACAGAGUAGCCUUUGCUAUCAAAUGUCAACCGUGUUAAAGAUUUCUUUCUCUCAUAAACUACAGUAGAAAACAUUUCUACACUGAUGCAGACACAAUGAAACUGGAACAGCAUGGAUCAUCUCCUAUGAUUAUAGGAACUGACACUAUGUAUCCUUGUUUAUGUGGUUUACUGAAUUAAUUAUCUUUUUUAAAGUCUCUUUUCCACAGGGGGAUCUCACCACAUCCUCUGCCAUUCCAACCACCAUUGACAUAACUAUCCCAACUACUGAUGACCCUUUAACGCCUGACUCUCCAGCUAGUGCCCCUCCAACUAAUGACAUUCCAACUACUGAUAAUCUAACUUCUGACAGUCCAACUACCGACAUGCCAACUACUGAUAAUCUAACUACCGACACUCCAACUAUUGAUAAUCUAACUACCGACACUCCAACUACUGA